AGUGAACGCUGGCGGCAGGCCUAACACAUGCAAGUCGAACGACAAGACAGUAAGAUCUUGCCCUUACGGGUGGCGGGUGGCGGACGGGUGAGGAAUACAUCGGAAUCUACUUUUUCGGGGGGGAUAACGUAGGAAAACUUACGAUAAUACAGCAUACGACCAACGGGUUGGAGCAGGGGAUCUUCAGAGCUUGCGCGAUUGAAAGAGACGAUGUCGGAUUAGCUAGUUGGGUUGGUAAGGGCUUACCAAGGCAACGAUCCGUAGCUGGUCUGAGAGGAUGAUCGGCCACACUGGAACUGAGACACGGUCCAGACUCCUACGGGAGGCAGCAGUGGGGAAUCUUCGACAAUGGGCGAAAGCCUGACCCAGCAACACCGCGUGAGUGAUGAAGGCCUUCGGGUCGUAAAGCCCUGUUGUUAGGAAAGAACAGCUGUAUGAGUAUCCCUGGCCGUCUUGACGGUACCCAAAGAAUAAGCACCGGCUAACUUCGUG
rnacentral:rRNA from 1 species